AUUCAUUUUUUUCAAAAUUCAGAUCUAUGAUAGGCUAAGUCCCCACAUCCCUAAUGAAUCGCUAAUCUCUAUUCGUCAGAGACCAGUGAGACUUUUUUAAUUUCAGAACCGAAGACCCACCCCCGCGAUAACUAUUUAUUACGAACUUCCCCAAAGGAAGUGCACAUUCUUGUACAUUCGCGCACAUUUUCGUCCGCAUUCUCGUGCGCACUCUUGCUUUUGAUUCUUGCUUUCAUUAAAUAAGCGUGGAAAGAUUUAAUUUCUUUACUCUUAAUAUUAAAUUAGAACGGGCCGGUUAAAUUAGAACAAAUUCAAAACUUCUUCCAAAAUAUUACUUUUAAUUUAUGUCAAAUCUUUAUUAUAACCGGGAGUGUUCAAUUUUUUAUUCCGCGUUGUGCCUGACUCCUCAUCAUCGGCUGUAGAAACCCAGGAGCACUCUGCCAAGCACUGACUGCUGCCUACACCUCGACCCUGACACCUUUUUUGGAGUGGCCACCUGCAAUGAUAUUCUUCGCAGUAAUGUCAAUGCAAAGAUAAAUCUGAGGGAGGAAGAAAAAGAAAGGAAGAGAAAAACGAAACAGAAA